rnacentral:tRNA from 2 species
CGCGGGUUGGAGCAGCCUGGUAGCUCGUCGGGCUCAUAACCCGAAGGUCGUCGGUUCAAAUCCGGCCCCCGCAACCA